rnacentral:rRNA from 1 species
UACAGAGGGGGCGAGCGUUGUUCGGAAUUACUGGGCGUAAAGGGCGCGUAGGCGGCCUCUUAAGUCGAACGUGAAAUCCCCGGGCUCAACCCGGGAACUGCGUCCGAUACUGGGGGGCUUGAAUCCGGGAGAGGGAUGUGGAAUUCCAGGUGUAGCGGUGAGAUGCGUAGAUAUCUGGAGGAACACCGGUGGCGAAGGCGGCAUCCUGGACCGGUAUUGACGCUGAGGCGCGAAAGCCAGGGGAGCAAACGGG